rnacentral:misc_RNA from 1 species
GUAGAUUCUGGGAACCCCCAGGAAAAAAGGAAAAAGGUUGAGAUCUAUUUUUGGCUCAUUCAACAAGUUGAAAAAACAAAAACCACAACUUUGGAUCAGAAAAACUAGAAUCUAUUGUACGUUCAUUCUUCUCCACCAAAUGGUAAACCUACCCUCAAAUCGAUGGAUUUGUAUUUAUCCAUAAAGAUCAUGCCAAUUCGAUCACAAAGGUUAGUUCAUUGAACGCAAAAUCUGACUUGUCAUAUAUGAACUAAAUCCUUUUUGAAAUUGAAAAGCUAUCAAUUUGUUUAGUUUUGAUAAAGUUAUGAUGGUUUAACCCAAUAAGUUGCCCAAAUUUUUUGAUGGUAAUUGAUUAAUAGAAGCUUUAAGCCAAUUGCCAGAACCAAGUGUUUUAAUUGUUUUUGAGCCAAACUUUGUUUUCAAACUACCAAUUUGAAACCCUUUUUUCGGUGUGAGAAUGUCAUUUAUUCUAUACUGUUCUAACACCAAAACAGAAACAUAUCCAAAGAAAUAUCUCUGAAAAAGUUAUUCAAACUUGAUCGAAUAAAAGAGGUUAACAUUUAUCAACUAUCAACAGCAUAGAGGAUGCAUAGCCUUGCCCAUCAAUCUCAUGUCCCAUUUGAAAAACUUAAUAUCCAGAUUCUGAACAAGCAUCUAAAAUCAUAUGACCAAAACUGUGGUUAUAGCUAGAAAUUUAAAAGGAAUCCUGGAAAAUCAUGAUCCAAAUAGUGCUAAAGAGCACAAUAGUGGUAAUUUGGUCUUGACAUAGUAGGCAACAGUUGAAGAAUAGAGCCAAUUAAACACAAGGGGCAAAGUGGAAUUGCCAAAUUUGUUAAAGGAUUUAAAAGUUCCAGUUCGGUUCAAUCUAUUUGUCUCUAGACAGGUAACCAACAACCACUGUAAACCAAGAGGAAGGCACAUUCACUGAACAAAGAUUGGGCCUAGGAUGACCCAAAAUCAAAAUUUGCUUUUAAGCAGCCAUUAUUGAGAACCACUACCACCACCAUCCUAACAAGAAUAUUACCGCUUUUGUGUAAAUUUAUAACACCCACCACACAAAUUGUUAAGAUUCUCACGCUGCAACAUUCUCUAUUUGUCAUUAACUUAUCCUUCUCCAUUGAUACUUAAAACAAAGUAUUCCUCCCUACGUUUCAUCACACCCAUCUAUUUUUCGUUUUUCCUAUUGACCCAAAUCAGAAAUAAAAGGCUAAAGCCAAACCAAUCCCAUUGGAAAUUAACAUUAGGAAAAAAAUUAAUAAAAAAAAAUACAACCACUCAACAACUAGCUACAAGAGCACACAUUCCUCUUAAUAAGAUCUACAAAUCCCAUUCCCAUUACCAUGUCCACUUUAUUAUUUAUCAAUUCUGGUUACCGGGCAUGAAACAAAACAACAAAACUUGUAAUUAAAAAUGAAUAACAAAUAUAACUAAAAGAAUAAUCAAUUUAAAGUGUUAGGAGAGAAUUUGCAAAGAACGCACCAGUAAUGAACAGAUUUACAUUG